rnacentral:rRNA from 1 species
GAUGAACGCUAGCUACAGGCUUAACACAUGCAAGUCGAGGGGAAACGAUAGAGAAAGCUUGCUUUUUCUAGGCGUCGACCGGCGCACGGGUGAGUAACGCGUAUCCAACCUGCCCAUCACUUGGGGAUAACCUUGCGAAAGUAAGACUAAUACCCAAUGACGUCUCUAGAAGACAUCUGAAAGGGAUUAAAGAUUUAUCGGUGAGGGAUGGGGGUGCGUCCGAUUAGCUUGUUGGCGGGGUAACGGCCCACCAAGGCGACGAUCAGUAGGGGUUCUGAGAGGAAGGUCCCCCACAUUGGAACUGAGACACGGUCCAAACUCCUACGGGAGGCAGCAGUGAGGAAUAUUGGUCAAUGGACGAGAGUCUGAACCAGCCAAGUAGCGUGCAGGAUGACGGCCCUAUGGGUUGUAAACUGCUUUUAUAAGGGAAUAAAGUGAGAGUCGUGACUCUUUUUGCAUGUACCUUAUGAAUAAGGACCGGCUAAUUCCGUGCCAGCCGCCGCAGUAA